CGGCUAACUACGUGCCAGCAGCCGCGGUAAUACGUAGGUGGCAAGCGUUAUCCGGAAUUAUUGGGCGUAAAGCGCGCGUAGGCGGUUUUUUAAGUCUGAUGUGAAAGCCCACGGCUCAACCGUGGAGGGUCAUUGGAAACUGGAAAACUUGAGUGCAGAAGAGGAAAGUGGAAUUCCAUGUGUAGCGGGGAAAUGCGCAGAGAUAUGGAGGAACACCAGUGGCGAAGGCGACUUUCUGGUCUGUAACUGACGCUGAUG
rnacentral:rRNA from 1 species